rnacentral:tRNA from 2 species
GGGCGGUUAGUCUCAGUGGUAGAGCGCUCCCUUCACACGGGAGAGGUCGCUGGUUCGAUCCCAGCACCGCCCACCA